UUCUAAUCGUCGCGUAACGAACUGCUCGGGCGGAUUGUAAAUUUGACGUUCUCUCGACAGUUAAUACCGGGUAUCAUCGAGAAUUGUCAUCUCUGUUUCCCCAAGUACUAUUGCAAUUCAUGUGUUCUAAUUGGAUUAAAUUCGGUGAUAGAGAGAGAGGGUGAGGAGGGGAAGAGGAGGAAAAGAGAGAGAGAGAGAGUAUAGUUCGAGACUAAGCGAAUUUUGAUCAAAUCUUCAUAUAUAGAAAAAACUAUUCUUGAAAUAUUACGUUGAAAGAGGAUAUUAUGAAAGAGGGAAGAGAAAAAAAACAACAAGGCCGAAACAUAUCGUUAAACUUCGAUCUGAUCUAACCUUCAAUCUAUUAUGACCUAGUAAGUGACUAAGGAACAAUCUAAAGGAAGGAAUCAAAGUCGAGAAACCAAAACAAUGCUCAUAUCUUUGUUAUGCGAUUGACAUACGAUGGACCUUUAACUAAAUAGUAUCUCUCAAUCAACGUAACAGGCAACAACUUGUCGGCGACCAAAAGUCAAAAUGUUUCUGUGAAAGAUUAGAAUACGUGAAAAGUGACACUUAGUGAGGAUGACAAGUACGACGACGACGACGACGACGACGAAUGCUAAAAGGAGGAUGAAUGCGGUCGUUGAGGAGGGUCAGGGCCCGCGCCCACAUCGCAAACGAUAUUUUCAGGUCGUGCAGUAGGCAUAUAAAUGUUUGGCGUUGCUAGUCGUUGAAACGUGGUUACAGGUCACUCACCGAAUAUGAGUGAACCACUAGCCACGUCUUCUUCCGAACUCAGUUGGCUUCCCGAUUAGCCAGAAUCACUCGACUUUUCAUUUGGUAUAGUCUGUUCUUUCAAACUAUGAAAGAAAAAUAAUUUAUAUAUUUCUCAUUUUAUUCUAAUUAAUUUAGAAAAAUAUUUUCCCAUUGAUAAAUACAAAAGAAUUUUAUUAAAAAAUAUGUAUAUACUUGAAAUAUCAUCAAAAAUCAAUGUUACAAUUAUUUAUUUAUCUUGACAUUAAAGAA